rnacentral:rRNA from 1 species
UACUCGAGUGGCGAACGGGUGAGUAACACGUGGGUGAUCUGCCUUGCACUUCGGGAUAAGCCUGGGAAACUGGGUCUAAUACCGGAUAGGACCAUGCUUUAGUGUGUGUGGUGGAAAGUUUUUCGGUGCAAGAUGAGCCCGCGGCCUAUCAGCUUGUUGGUGGGGUAAUGGCCUACCAAGGCGACGACGGGUAGCCGGCCUGAGAGGGUGUACGGCCACAUUGGGACUGAGACGCGGCCCAG